rnacentral:rRNA from 1 species
GACGAACGCUGGCGGCGUGCCUAAUACAUGCAAGUCGAGCGAGCUUGCCUAGAUGAUUUUAGUGCUUGCACUAAAUGAAACUAGAUACAAGCGAGCGGCGGACGGGCGAGUAACACGUGGGUAACCUGCCCAAGAGACUGGGAUAACACCUGGAAACAGAUGCUAAUACCGGAUAACAACACUAGACGCAUGUCUAGAGUUUGAAAGAUGGUUCUGCUAUCACUCUUGGAUGGACCUGCGGUGCAUUAGCUAGUUGGUAAGGUAACGGCCCACCAAGGCAACGAUCGGUAGCCGGACUGAGAGGUUGAACGGCCACAUUGGGACUGAGACACGGCCCAGACUCCUACGGGAGGCAGCAGUGGGGAAUAUUGCACAAUGGGGGAAACCCUGAUGCAGCGACGCCGCGUGGAGGAAGAAGGUCUUCGGAUUGUAAACUCCUGUUGUUGAGGAAGAUAAUGACGGUACUCAACAAGGAAGUGACGGCUAACUACGUGCCAGCAGCCGCGGUAAAACGUAGGUCACAAGCGUUGUCCGGAAUUACUGGGUGUAAAGGGAGCGCAGGCGGGAAAGCAAGUUGGAAGUGAAAUCCAUGGGCUCAACCCAUGAACUGCUUUCAAAACUGUUUUUCUUGAGUAGUGCAGAGGUAGGCGGAAUUCCCGGUGUAGCGGUGGAAUGCGUAGAUAUCGGGAGGAACACCAGUGGCGAAGGCGGCUUACUGGACGAUCACUGACGUUGAGGCUCGAAAGCGUGGGGAGCAAACAGG